UGCUCUUCUUGUCCAGUUUGACGGUUUUCAACUGUUGCCUUCUGUUGGAACUUAGUAACUUACUGAGCUAUUCCCAAUUCGGCAUGUUGCUGUUUGUUUUUCCAUGUUAAGGUUGAGAGAACCCUUAUGAAAGAUCGUUUCUUGCUUUGCCAUCCUCUGUUACCAUAUAAACCCAUACACAAUAAUGCUUAAAGGAAAGUGUUGCUUUCAAGAAAUUUCUUGUGAAAUAGUCUUUUUGGAAAAUAUGUUUGGUGAUGUGAUUUGUUGUUUUGUUUGUAACGCUUAAAUGGUAUGGUCCCUACUCCCUAGUUUUAAUUUGUUGUUGUCUUUUAGUGGAAUUUUCUACCUUGGAUUUAUGAUAUUUACAUCAACACUUACCAGUAAAUGCUACUGGAGCUUUAGGGGUUACUUGUGGAUGCCAAUAGAGCGAGAACUGUUCAAUAUCUUAACAUUACUGUACAGUGUUUUCUGUGGUCAGUUGGCUGAUACAAUUACACUUUACAGCAAAAAUAGUUUGUAGAAACUCGAAGGCUCUUUAUGGCCAUCAUCUAGUAAGUUCUUUGGCAUCUUAUGUAUCGAGAACAUACCCUCAAAAGAGUUGGCAGAGGGUUACAAAGGAUUAACCUUUAUGGCUAAACAAUAGAAUCCUGCAGUUAAAAUUUUGUUCGAUCGUUUUUAAAUGCCAUGUGUGUUUAUCAUAUGUGAUCUAGGUUAAAAUUUAACUGUACAUUGUUUUGUCUGCGUAUGGUUACAAUCGCUUACCUCGUCGGCUUAUUACUUUGUCCUGGGAUGUAUCAAAAGAAAUUCCAUUGGUCAUGGCCAUCCAUUCUUUGUGCUUGACCUAGACUGUGUGUCUUUGAUGAUUUUGUGCUUGGUAUUAUUCAAAGGAACUUAAUGCUUUUAGUUUGCUGAAUCAUCUCCCAUGUUCUGUUACUAUUGUGUUUGUCUUCCAGUUUUCAGUAAGAUCAUUGCCUCUGCACUGUCACAUUCUUGUGGAAAUUUAUCAAAUCUAUUCAUUUCAAAUAUAUACUGCAUGGCUCUACUAGUAAUAUGUAUUUCAUGUCUUCCAGGUAACUUUACAUGUAUAUGAUGAGUCUCAUUAGUAUGCAUUGAACUCAUUUUUAUAAGUUAUCACCAUUUAAGAAUUUUUUUUAAGGGAAAUGGUAGACCACUCAGAUUUUCAACCUUUAUUAAAGGUGAUUUGAUAUUUAAACUGAUAUUUGAUAAUUUAGAGGUAACACUUUGAAACAUAGCAUCACAGCUCACACACAUGCUUGAAACAGCUAAAGAUUAAUUGAUUUUUUUAGAUCAUUGGACAUUCUUUAGUUUAUCUCUUUCAUUUUGUUUUUAAUUGAUAUAAAAUGAUCUAAGCUCGAAUCUUAAGGGAGCAAAUCUUAUAGCAAUGAAUAUUUUUUGUAACAUAUUUUAUUAUAUUGUAUUGAAAUAUUGUUAAAAUAACUAAAGUUGUCCCCUUUCAAGACCACCUGAUCUGCAAAUUUACCUGUAAUGUUCCUAUACCAUGGUCUGAAUCUGAUACGUGUUCUAAACUAAAUCAAGGCUUGUUCUAAUUUCUUUUUGUUCUUUACCUAAUUAUUAUUUCCAAAAAUAUAUAAUAAUCACCACAUAAUAUUUACCUAGUUAUUAUUUCCCAAAAUGCAAAAAAAAAAAAAAAUUGCUUACAAAUAAAGUAAAAUAAGAAGUGGGUACCACUUAUAUAAAAUCUAACAAUACUAAAAGUAGAAUAAGUUCAAAGGAGAGGCUGUCCACGUCUGCAAAAAAAUCAACCAAUCAUAACAGGUUAAUUUGCCAUGUCAUACGUUUCAGUCCAAAAACGGGUUUUUAAUUUGGGCUGUGUUUGCAUUUAUUAAAUAGCCCAAUACAAGCCCAUCUCACCUUAGAUGUCUGAAGCGUAAAGUUUUGUUCUACCUCGACCAUUUCUCUUUGCUUUCACGAUCAAAUUCUCAGCACUCGCCGUUACCAAAACCAACUCUUCAUCAAAAUAUUAUGCUGUUUAAUUCUUCUUUAAUGGUUUCGUUCCACCUCCCCCUCUUUCUCCUUCUAUACAAAGCACUCUAUAUCAUCUUCAUUCCAACCCUAAUCGAAACUCUGUAGAAACAACUAUCCACCGCCUUGAAAUCACUAGAAAGUCUGCCUUCUCCACCGGAAAAACUCAUAUAGCUGUUUCUCUCUCCAAUUGAAAAUGACAGGCUCAGAGAGUGACGAUUAGGACCAUCUCCGAGAAGGAGGAGUGAAGAAUCUAUUCCUCCGUGAGGGCAGACAGUACGAGAAGCAAUGUUAAAGGCGACAAAAAAAAAGAUUUUGAUCCAACUUCUUUUGGUAUGUCGUUUACUGUUUCAUUUGAUCAAAUUUCAAUUAAGUUUCAAGUUUUGUGUUAGAUGUGUGAUUUCGGGUUUUCAAACUAUCUCCAAAUAAGAUGAAAUCAACCCUUCUACACAAAAGUUAAGCGGCUACACUAUGGUUUAUAAAGUUUUCUGAUUUUGGCAUUGGCCUUUUUAAUUAUGUCGUCAGUUUACAAGUUGUCUACUAUUUUUUAUCUCUCAGUUUUCAAGAUAGUUUAUUUAGAUGGAUAUGGACCUCCAUCUAGACGUUUCCAACCAAACACGCGAGGAAAGGUGAGUGACGAAGAGCUUACUUACUUAGAGAAACAUUUAUCAAGCUUUACAAUUUCAUUUCAUCCUUGAUAAGUUGCAUACCUAUUUUUCAGCUAUAUUCCUCACCACUUUGUGUUUCUUCUCUAUAGCUAAGCUUCAGGAGAGUUGUGCAUAAGCAUCUUGAAGAAUUCAUGAGAGAGUGAGGUAAGUUGCUUAGACGAGUUCGUUUCACAAAAAUCAAACAGUUCGGGAGUAGGUUUACAGAUUGAGAAGAGAUAAGAUCAUGAAAUGGUUCUCAUGAUUUGUACAAGUUGCAAUAUUUGUGUUCAAAUUUUCUGCCUUUUUCUUUCACCUAUCUUUGUUCUCUUUACUUUGGUAUUAACUCAGCUAUGAUUUCUUCUGCAUUUGGCUUGAGGUUUUCUUCCUCCAGCUCCUAACAUUCUUUUCCUUUUUUCUUAAUCUGUAAAGGGAGGAACAAUGGACGCUUAAGGUGUUUCACACCCGUCCCAAACCACUUGACUUCACAACGCACAGUCCCAUUUUUUUGUACGAUCAGUACAAUCUGACUACUGGAUGCUUAAGGUGUUUCAGAGGCUGCCGGUAUAUACUUUCACAUAAUACUUUUGUAUUUUUUUUCUGAGCUAUAAACCACACAUGUCUCUAGAGAGUUACUUAGUCUUUAGAAAUGCUAAAGUCUCGAAGGCAAACAGCUUACAAAGGGACCUAUUCUUUUUUUUUUCCUUUCUUUCAGAGGAGACCUUAAGUGAAUAAGAUGACAUCUAUCAAAGAUAUCAAAUUUCUUGACAUUAAAACGUAAGAAAUGUCUCUGUUCUGACUAUACAACAAACAUGGAAUCAUUCUUUCGCAUUGGUUCAGAAUUUGAUUGUUAUAGUAUUACUUAUAUGUUUUAUUUUUUCACUCUUUCUUUACCAGGAGCAUUUAGAUCAGAUAAGAUCCAAUGUUACAUAUGGAAGCUUAGAAAUGUUUCCAUGAGCAGAUCGAGAUACAAUGGUCCUUGCAAUUACUGUUUGAAAAACAGGGCAGUGCCUACAGAUGAUGUUUGAGAAACAACUAAAGUUACAAGAGACCAGGACCCCUUCCUCAAUCUCAUCACCAAAGCAAUGCAAUGGCACAUUUGCCGCAUCCAAAUUUGGUUUCAAAACACAAACUGUGAACCAAACUGAAUCUGCUUUGGUAUCAAAGAAAGCAAGUCCAUUCAACUUUUUUUUUUUUCAAUUCGAGUACAAUUAAUGAAAUAUUUUAUCUUGGAAAAAUAAAGAUACAUAUAUAUAUAUAUAUAAGAGAAUACAACAAAAGAGCCAAUGCAUUAGAUGUGUGUAUACUUAUAAGUGAUAUAGAUCUCAAAAGUUAAGAAUGUGUUGUACAACAAAAGCUGAAGCUGUUGCUCUGCACGUCCUACUGGGCGGAGAUUCUGAUGAUUCAUCUCGAGUCAUGCUUGGUGAAGAAAAGGGUUUCAAUAUUGAUCUGUUUAGAGGUCAAUGAAUAAACUCCGCCAAAGUUGCGCUAGCUAUGCGGUUCAAGGAUUUUGGACUGUGUUCAACGGUUAUGGACUAAGAGAUAGUAAAUGGUCGCCAUUCAUGAAGGAAUCUUGGGAUAAGAACUUGGGAAUAUCAGCUGAUCUGAUUGUUGCUCAGGCUGUCCAUCACUACAUAUUUCUGAAAAUACUGACAGAAAUGCCUCUCUGCUCAAUAGAAGUUCUCUGGAUGACAAAAAUGUUGCUUAUUCCUGUGUGAGAUUGCUGUUUUUUUUUCUCUAAUGCUACAUGUUCAUAUUUGUAUAGCAGCUAUUUUCUUAAUGUAACAUUGAACGAAUGAUGCUGAGACUUGCUUGGUUACUUGCCAUUAACAUGUUGAAGAUAUCCCUUAACAAAAUCACAAAAGAGAGAGAGAUAUGGGUUCCAAUGGUGGGAUACAAAGUAAUGGAUGCAUAUGAAUAGCUUUUGGACCGGGUGGAUAUACAAUCAACCAAAUGAAUGCAUUAUGGUGGAUUACGGUUGCUACUGAGUACUGACACUAGAAUCUUACAGCAACUACUCAUGACAUGAAAAGUAUAAAACAAAGCAAACACAAACACAUCAACCCAAAAUA